rnacentral:rRNA from 1 species
AACGAACGCUGGCGGCAGGCCUAACACAUGCAAGUCGAACGCCGUAGCAAUACGGAGUGGCAGACGGGUGAGUAACACGUGGGAACAUACCCUUCGGUUCGGAAUAACUCAGGGAAACUUGAGCUAAAUACCGGAUACGUCCGCGAGGAGAAAGAUUCAUCGCCGGAGGAUUGGCCCGCGUCUGAUUAGCUUGUUGGUGAGGUAACGGCUCACCAAGGCGACGAUCAGUAGCUGGUCUGAGAGGAUGAUCAGCCACAUUGGGACUGAGACACGGCCCAAACUCCUACGGGAGGCAGCAGUGGGGAAUAUUGGACAAUGGGCGCAAGCCUGAUCCAGCCAUGCCGCGUGAGUGAUG